rnacentral:rRNA from 1 species
UUUAAAGUUGUUGAGGUUAAAAAGCUCGUAGUUGAACCUUGGGCCUAGCCGGCCGGUCCGCCUCACCGCGUGCACUGGCUCGGUUGGGUCUUUCCUUCCGGAGAACCGCAUGCCCUUCACUGGGUGUGUUGGGGAACCAGGACUUUUACUCUGAACAAAUUAGAUCGCUUAAAGAAGGCCUAUGCUCGAAUACUCUAGCAUGGAAUAAUA